AACGAACGCUGGCGGCAGGCUUAACACAUGCAGGUCGAGCGCCCCGCAAGGGGAGCGGCAGACGGGUGAGUAACGCGUGGGAACAUACCCUUUCCUGCGGAAUAGCUCCGGGAAACUGGAAUUAAUACCGCAUACGCCCUACGGGGGAAAGAUUUAUCGGGGAAGGAUUGGCCCGCGUUGGAUUAGCUAGUUGGUGGGGUAAAGGCCUACCAAGGCGACGAUCCAUAGCUGGUCUGAGAGGAUGAUCAGCCACAUUGGGACUGAGACACGGCCCAAACUCAUACGGGAGGCAGCAGUGGGGAAUAUUGGACAAUGGGCGCAAGCCUGAUCCAGCCAUGCCGCGUGAGUGAUGAAGGCCUUAGGGUUGUAAAGCUCUUUCACCGGAGAAGAUAAUGACGGUAUCCGGAGAAGAAGCCCCGGCUAACUUCGUGCCAGCCGCCGCCGUAAGAC
rnacentral:rRNA from 1 species